ACUUUCUUGCUGAUUUUGAGAGCAAUACGACUUCUUGUUUCAAUUUUUUUUUUGAUACAUCUUUCUCUUUGACAAGGCUUCAAGUGAAGGUGAAGGAUUGAGAGUAAUUGAGAAGUUCAAAGGUGAGAAUUUCUACCAUUGGAAAGUAAAAAUAGAACUUUUGUUAGCAUCUUUGGAUCUUUGAGAUAUUAUAGAUGAAAGUGAAGAGGCUCCAAGCAUAGAUACUGAUAUGAAGGAGAAGAAGGAAUUUAAACAUUAUAAAAAGAAGGCUUUUGAAUUGAUUGCAACAAAUGUGGAUGAAGCUAAUUUCUCCCAUAUUA
rnacentral:lncRNA from 1 species